AACUCAGCUCAGCUGGAGGAUGCUGGGGAAAGAGGACAGACAUACCAUGAGGGCUCCUGGACAAGGGUGCUGAAGAAGCCUCCCUCUGGGGAAUAGGACAGAAUGCUGAGCCCAGUUGGGGCUGAAGUAACCAAGGUGGUGGCUCGCCCUAAAGGAAUUGCUAGGGAAAGCUGCGGCUAGCUUGCUUUCUGUUGAAAGGACACGGAUACAGCCUUCCGAUCAAGAACAGACAAGCAGCACAACUUCUGCAGAUGCCAUCCCAACACUGGCUGUAUGUUUCCACCUGCCUGUCUCCACUCCUCCUACCCCUUAAUGGAUACAUGGGUAGCUGCAAAGAGAACCUAGCAGGAAAUGUUGCUUGAAACACCAUUAUUCCUCCUUGAAUUCCAAUGACUUCCAUCUCAGCAAGGGGGUAACACUGUAGGAGACAAGCUGCUCUCCAGU